GGGAGACCCGGGCGUAGACUCCUGGGAAGUUUGCUUGAGCGCAUCCUUCUCCGAAGCUCACCACUCCAGCCUGGACCCACCUGUCCUUUUUGCUCACCAGCGGACCGCCAGAGUCUCCCUGCAGACACCACACAGAAGGUCUUGCCUUUUGCCAGGCCACAGUUGCAAAUAAGAAGGCUGUUCUUAAUCUGUCCUGCCUGGAUAAAUAAAGGUUAAA